GUGCGCCGCUGCUUUGUUCCAGGGACCGCCACGGACUCAGAGGACGAGGAGAAGGUAGCAGUGGACAUGGCCAUGAGGAGGCUGCUCUCAAGAACAUCCGAGAGCAGUUCCAAGGCCGAGAAAAGCCCACUCCUGGUGGGUGCAGGAUGAGGCCCAGCAACUCAUGUUCCUGCAUGC